rnacentral:rRNA from 1 species
AUUGAACGCUGGCGGCAGGCCUAACACAUGCAAGUCGAGCGGCAGCGGGUCCUUCGGGAUGCCGGCGAGCGGCGGACGGGUGAGUAAUGCCUAGGAAUCUGCCUGGUAGUGGGGGAUAACGUUCGGAAACGGACGCUGAUACCGCAUACGUCCUACGGGAGAAAGUGGGGGAUCUUCGGACCUCACGCUAUCAGAUGAGCCUAGGUCGGAUUAGCUAGUUGGUGGGGUAAAGGCUCACCAAGGCGACGAUCCGUAACUGGUCUGAGAGGAUGAUCAGGCACACUGGAACUGAGACACGGUCCAGACUACUACGGGAGGCAGCAGUGGGGAAUAUUGGACAAUGGGCGAAAGCCUGAUCCAGCCAUGCCGCGUGUGUGAAGAAGGUCUUCGGAUUGUAAAGCACUUUAAGUUGGGAGGAAGGGCAGUCAGUUAAUACCUGGUUGUUUUGACGUUACCAACAGAAUAAGCACCGGCUAACUUCGUGCCAGCAGCCGCAGUAACAC